GAUGAACGCUGGCGGCGUGCCUAAUACAUGCAAGUCGAGCGAACGGACGAGAAGCUUGCUUCUCUGAUGUUAGCGGCGGACGGGUGAGUAACACGUGGAUAACCUACCUAUAAGACUGGGAUAACUUCGGGAAACCGGAGCUAAUACCGGAUAAUAUUUUGAACCGCAUGGUUCAAAAGUGAAAGACGGUCUUGCUGUCACUUAUAGAUGGAUCCGCGCUGCAUUAGCUAGUUGGUAAGGUAACGGCUUACCAAGGCAACGAUGCAUAGCCGACCUGAGAGGGUGAUCGGCCACACUGGAACUGAGACACGGUCCAGACUCCUACGGGAGGCAGCAGUAGGGAAUCUUCCGCAAUGGGCGAAAGCCUGACGGAGCAACGCCGCGUGAGUGAUGAAGGUCUUCGGAUCGUAAACUCUGUUAUUAGGGAAGAACAUAUGCGUAAGUAACUGUGCACAUCUUGACGGUACCUAAUCAGAAAGCCACGGCUAACUACGUG
rnacentral:rRNA from 1 species